GGUCGCGUAGCUCAGUUGGAUAGAGCGGCUGUUUCCGGAGCAGCAGGUCGCAGGUUCGAGCCCUGCCGCGAUCA
rnacentral:tRNA from 1 species